rnacentral:rRNA from 1 species
UACGGGGGGGGCAAGCGUUGUUCGGAAUUACUGGGCGUAAAGGGCGCGUAGGCGGCCUUCUAAGUCGGACGUGAAAUCCCUCGGCUUAACCGAGGAACUGCGUCCGAGACUGAAAGGCUUGAAUCCGGGAGAGGGAUGUGGAAUUCCAGGUGUAGCGGUGAAAUGCGUAGAUAUCUGGAGGAACACCGGUGGCGAAGGCGGCAUCCUGGACCGGCAUUGACGCUGAGGCGCGAAAGCCAGGGGAGCAAACGGG